rnacentral:rRNA from 1 species
UAUACCGUGAAACUGCGAAUGGCUCAUUAAAUCAGUUAUCGUUUAUUUGAUAGUACCUUACUACUUGGAUAACCGUGGUAAUUCUAGAGCUAAUACAUGCUUAAAACCCCAACUUCGGGAGGGGUGUAUUUAUUAGAUAAAAAACCAACGCCCUUCGGGGCUUCUUGGUGAUUCAUGAUAACUUUACGGAUCGCAUGGCCUUGCGCCGGCGACGGUUCAUUCAAAUUUCUGCCCUAUCAACUUUCGAUGGUAAGGUAUUGGCUUACCAUGGUUUCAACGGGUAACGGGGAAUUAGGGUUCGAUUCCGGAGAGGGAGCCUGAGAAACGGCUACCACAUCCAAGGAAGGCAGCAGGCGCGCAAAUUACCCAAUCCCGACACGGGGAGGUAGUGACAAUAAAUACUGAUACAGGGCUCUUUUGGGUCUUGUAAUUGGAAUGAGUACAAUUUAAACCUCUUAACGAGGAACAAUUGGAGGGCAAGUCUGGUGCCAGCAGCCGCGGUAAUUCCAGCUCCAAUAGCGUAUAUUAAAGUUGUUGCAGUUAAAAAGCUCGUAGUUGAAACUUGGGUCUGGCUGGCAGGUCCGCCUCACCGCGUGUACUUGUCCGGCCGGGCCUUCCUUCUGGAGAACCUCAUGCCCUUCACUGGGCGUGUUGGGGACCAGGACUUUUACUUUGAAAAAAUUAGAGUGUUCAAAGCAGGCCUUUGCUCGAAUACGUUAGCAUGGAAUAAUAGAAUAGGACGUGCGGUUCUAUUUUGUUGGUUUCUAGGACCGCCGUAAUGAUUAAUAGGGACAGUCGGGGGCAUCAGUAUUCAAUUGUCAGAGGUGAAAUUCUUGGAUUUAUUGAAGACUAACUACUGCGAAAGCAUUUGCCAAGGAUGUUUUCAUUAAUCAGUGAACGAAAGUUAGGGGAUCGAAGACGAUCAGAUACCGUCGUAGUCUUAACCGUAAACUAUGCCGACUAGGGAUCGGGCGAUGUUCUUUUUUUGACUCGCUCGGCACCUUACGAGAAAUCAAAGUU